rnacentral:misc_RNA from 1 species
UUUCGUCUGGUAUCAUCGUGUUUCUCACGUGUGUUUUAAUCAGCGCCGUUUGUCAGUCGCGUGGAAUGACAUUUAAAAAAAUCCUUGAAUCUUGUUCUCGGCACAUAAGUAAACUCAGGAACUAUGGAGCAGAUGUUAAUCUCUCUCCACCGUAUGAAUUUAUGUGUCAGGUUGGAGAUCCUGUACUGCGAACUCGCGCAGAGGCAGUCGACCUGGUAAAGGUCACCAGCGCUGAAGUUCAAAACAUAAUUAAUGUAAUGCGGAUUGUCAUGAAUAAAAGUUAUUCGACGGGCAUAUCAGCACCUCAAGUGGGUUGUCCACUGAGGAUUAUAAUGAUGGAGUUCCCCAUGAAAUACAUGAAGCUGGCCCAAGCGGAAGAAGCAAAGACACGUGUUUACCAGCCUUUUCCACUGAAGGUGUUCAUCAAUCCUACUAUGGAAGUUAUAAACAAUCAGAGGCUCGUAUUCCCUGAAGGCUGCGAGAGCAUCCGAGGUUUCACUGCAGAUGUGCCGAGAUACUAUGAAGUGAAGGUUUCAGGUCUGAAUGAAAAAGGAGAGGCCCAUGAGUGGCAGGCAUAUGGAUGGCCAGCUAGAAUCAUUCAGCAUGAGAUGGACCACCUUGAAGGCAGCCUCUUUAUUGAUCUCAUGGACUCACGGACUUUCCACUUCAACUACUGGCAUCUAAUCAAGAAGCUGCCCAAGUCAAGAUUGAAGCAGUGAUAAGAAGCACACAAUUGCCCAAGGAAGGGACUCAACUAAACAAAGAACAACAUGCAUACCACAGUCCCUCCUGAGCUGGAAUGCUGCAGCCAACUUGAGCUGGUUCUGUACAAAGGGGAAAAAACUUUCCCAAGCUGCAUCUGUGCAAGCUAAUGUGCGAUAGCACAUGUUGAAAAGUGGCACUGCCUUCAUGCAUACGAACAUGGUGCAUCAAUGAGUCCUCAAGGGUGCCUUGCAACAUGGUGAUGCAGAUCAAUGUGCAUCAGGUGCGACUCGCAUUGUGGGAGUGGUGCAAAGGUUGCUGUCGGAUGCAGGAUGCCUAAAAUGUGUGCUGGCGUCACAACAGCCAGUAGCAUUCCUUGUGACAAUGUGCCUACUAGAUCAUUGUGCAAGCCUUGAAUUUCGGCAGCAGUGCCAACAGAAAGGUACAGCUAGACUGCACAGACUGCGCUUGUUGGAAAUGCGAGAUUUUAGGUGACUUAAAAGAGCUACCUAUGCAAUCGAUUACGUACUAGGAGGGCUAUUAUAAUUUCAGUGUUUCACACAAAGUAACCAUUCCUGCAGAAACCCUAUGCACUUCCAUUUUUUUUCACCAGCACAGCAUUGCUUCCAUGUACAGUAACCAGUGUUGCGGGCAUCCAGACUACGCAAAUAACAAAAUUCUGUUUGAAGAAUUUGUGCUUGCUUUCUAAAAAAAACCACUGCACAUUUCGAUGCUUCGAAGGGUUGACUUUCCUUUGUACUACAAAAUAGUAGGUCCUCAAAAAAUUGUAGACAGUCUAUUUAAUGUGCUGGAACUGUCAGCUUCUGCUCUGCAAAUUUUCCUGCUUUCCAACUUUACACUCUCACAUUAUUUAACAUUCUGUAAUUUUUAUUUUAUAAUGUUCACUUUAUGAUGUUAACAUUCUGUGCUGUUUACCUAUAACACCUCUAUAGUGCUUUUUCAUGUUGAUUUAGCUUUUCUUACUUGUACAUACAACAAGCAGCCUUCUACUGCAGUUUUUUAAUAGUACCUGUGAAGAUGUGUUUUAAUUAUGAUGUGUUCAUUUUAAGUGGGAAGUGUACAUGCAAUAAAGAUUACAUUUUGAAAGUUUAACUGUUGUAAACUAUAUUGUCCAAUUUAUAGUCAAUUAUUCAGCAUGAAAUUGGUGUCACACUUAGGAUGAUGAAUCCAAAAACACUAAGAAUGGUUUAAAAGUUCAUUUUCCUGUCUCAACAUUUCUAAACUUUUGUCACCUUCAGAAAACUCCCUGAUAUGCACUGAACUUGCCUGAUUGCCUUUUCUAUUACUCAUUUCUGUUCUAGAACUGUUACAGGAUGAUGGCCUUCAGUGUUUUUGUCGUUUGUUUCUUUAACUGUUCCUCGUCCUAAAAGCAUCUUUAAGUUCUUGUUUCAGGAUUGGAAUUGAAUCAUGGAGAGCAAAAUCCAUUGUUCUGUUUUAUGUUAGGAACUGCCAUACAGUCAGUGCUGUGUAGGUAGGUGUGUGUGCUUCCACCCUCACAACACUGUUUCCAGUGUUUCCAAAAUUUCAUAGGUAUACAUAUAAAGAGGGAAAGAACAAGCACUGAAAGCCGUAAGCCUGAAGUCGGAAAAAGCCAGGAAGGCAAGUGAAUUACAUCUCAUGGAGAGUACAUUAGGGUGAUUAAAGUUCGCACAUGUAUGAAGAAAUGUACAAACUUGAAAAAGACAAUUCUUUAUAUUUAAGGCUAUGUGCCUUUAAAUGCCACAUGCACUCAUAAUUUCUGGAAACAGUAGAAUAUGUAACAUCCAAAUAUUGAUCCCAGAAUGUCCCAGAGAGGACAAUUAAUGGACAUCCUGUGCAUUCGAUUAAAACAUAUUGGCGGGCUAGUAGGUUUAAAUCCAUGAUGGUGUGUAAGCGCGACUGAACGAGGACAUAGAAAGAUGCACAGAGACAGUGCUUUCAACUAUUGAUUUUAUUUUCGCACACAUCGAUAAAUAUAUACCGUACAAGCGGAAGCAAAUGAGACAGUAAAAAAGAACAUUCAGUGAUGCAUGUCGAUGAACUGUGCAUGGGUCCAAGGUAUGGUCAAAACAUACAGCAAUAGUUACAACGAUAAACCGAGAAAUCAUCUUUUUUUCAGAUAGCGACACUGAUGACAUGCUCACACACCUUUCCUCUAGUUUUUCAAUUCCGUAGGCCUCCACAAUCUCCCUUGUCAUCCUGCUAUGAGCCCUAUACAAUAUAGAAGUACACUCAAACAUGGGUUUUCAGGGACAAUCUCUGCAAUGAAUGCUCAAACGACCCGAGAUUACCCUAGUGGCAUUAUAUUGAUGCUCUUUUAGUCUCGUUGAUGCAUCUGCGAGUUUGACCAAUAUAUGUUCUUCCGCACAAAAGCGGAAUGGCAUAGACAAUGUUAUGAGUGCAGGUUACUUAUUGUUUGCGAUGUUGAGUAGAACAUGCGUUCCUUUUGUUAUUCUCUGAAUUAGCCUGUUUGCAUAGCUUCUGUAGAUGCUCAGGGGCAGAGAAAACCACGUCCACCUACAACAUUGCUGCUAUUCUUCUGAGAUUAUGUGAAAUAAAAUGAAUGUAUGGUACCACA